AGAGUUUGAUCCUGGCUCAGGAUGAACGCUAGCCACAGGCUUAACACAUGCAAGUCGAGGGGCAGCAUGAUUGAAGCUUGCUUCAAUUGAUGGCGACCGGCGCACGGGUGAGUAACGCGUAUCCAACCUUCCGUACACUCAGGGAUAGCCUUUCGAAAGAAAGAUUAAUACCUGAUGGUAUGAUGAGAUUGCAUGAUAGCAUCAUUAAAGAUUUAUCGGUGUACGAUGGGGAUGCGUUCCAGUUAGGUAGUAGGCGGGGUAAUGGCCCACCUAGCCGACGAUGGAUAGGGGUUCUGAGAGGAACGGUCCCCCACAUUGGAACUGAGACACGGUCCAAACUCCGUACGGGAGGCA
rnacentral:rRNA from 1 species